rnacentral:tRNA from 1 species
ACCAGCUGGCUUAGUCUGUAAAGCAUGAGACUCUUGAUCUCUGGGUUGUGGGUUCAAGCCCCAUGUUGGGUA